UGUCCAGGGAUGGGAAUCGAACCCACAGUGUUCCUAUUACCGGGCAGAUGCCAUGUCCACUAGACUACCCAUCCCUGGAC